AGCGAACGCUGGCGGCAGGCCUAACACAUGCAAGUCGAACGAAGUCUUCGGACUUAGUGGCGGACGGGUGAGUAACACGUGGGAACGUGCCUUUAGGUUCGGAAUAACUCAGGGAAACUUGUGCUAGUACCGAAUGUGCCCUUCGGGGGAAAGAUUUAUCGCCUUUAGAGCGGCCCGCGUCUGAUUAGCUAGUUGGUGGGGUAAUGGCCCACCAAGGCUACGAUCAGUAGCUGGUCUGAGAGGAUGACCAGCCACAUUGGGACUGAGACACGGCCCAAACUCCUACGGGAGGCAGCAGUGGGGAAUCUUGCGCAAUGGGCGAAAGCCUGACGCAGCCAUGCCGCGUGGAUGAUGAAGGUCUUAGGAUUGUAAAAUCCUUUCACCGGUGAAGAUAAUGACUGUAGCCGGAGAAGAAGCCCCGGCUAACUUCGUGCCAGCCGCCGCUGUAAUAC
rnacentral:rRNA from 1 species